rnacentral:rRNA from 1 species
AACGAACGCUGGCGGCGUGCCUAACACAUGCAAGUCGAGCGAGAAAGCCCGCAAGGGUGAGUAAAGCGGCGCACGGGUGCGUAACACGUGGGUAAUCUGCCCUGAAGUCCGGAAUAACUCGCCGAAAGGCGUGCUAAUGCCGGAUAAGACCACGGGAACUUCGGUUCCGGCGGGAAAAGGUGUCCGCUGUACACAAGCUAUCACUUCAGGAUGCGCCCGCGGCCCAGCAGCUAGUUGGCGGGGUAACGGCCCACCAAGGCUACGACGGGUAGCUGGUCUAAGAGGGCGAUCAGCCACACUGGAACUGAGACACGGUCCAGACUCCUACGGGAGGCAGCAGUGGGGAAUCUUGCGCAAUGGGCGAAAGCCUGACGCAGCAACGCCGCGUGUGUGAUGAAGGUCUUCGGAUCGUAAAGCACUGUCGAGAGGGACGAAUAAGGCCGGCGCUAACAUCGCCGGCUGAUGACGGUACCUCUAAAGGAAGCACCGGCUAACUCUGUGCCAGCAGCCGCCGUAAAAC